GCCUCGUGAAUUCAUCUCCGGGGGUAGAGCACUGUUUCGGCUAGGGGGCCAUCCCGGCUUACCAACCCGAUGCAAACUGCGAAUACCGGAGAAUGUUAUCACGGGAGACACACGGCGGGUGCUAACGUCCGUCGUGAAGAGGGAAACAACCCAGACCGCCAGCUAAGGUCCCAAAGUCAUGGUUAAGUGGGAAACGAUGUGGGAAGGCCCAGACAGCCAGGAUGUUGGCUUAGAAGCAGCCAUCAUUUAAAGAAAGCGUAAUAGCUCACUGGUCGAGUCGGCCUGCGCGGAAGAUGUAACGGGGCUAAACCAUGCACCGAAGCUGCGGCAGCGACGCUUAUGCGUUGUUGGGUAGGGGAGCGUUCUGUAAGCCUG
rnacentral:rRNA from 1 species